rnacentral:sRNA from 1 species
AUGUACCGCUUGUACACUCCGGUUCCUGCGCGCUGCGCGCACCCACCUGACAGACGCUCGCGACGUGUUGUUAACC